GACGAACGCUGGCGGCGUGCUUAACACAUGCAAGUCGAACGGAAAGGCCCUGCUUUUGUGGGGUGCUCGAGUUGCGAACGGGUGAGUAACACGUGAGUAACCUGCCCUUGACUUUGGGAUAACUUCAUGAAACUGGGGCUAAUACCGGAUAGGAGCUCCUGCUGCAUGGUGGGGGUUGGAAAGUUUCGGCGGUUGGGGAGGGACUCGCGGCCUAUCAGAUUGUUGGUGGGGUAGUGGCUUACCAAGGCUUUGACGGGUAGCCGGCCUGAGAGGGUGACCGGCCACAUUGGGACUGAGAUACGGCCCAGACUACUACGGGAGGCAGCAGUGGGGAAUAGUGCACAAUGGGCGGAAGCAUGAUGCAGCAACGCAGCGUGCGGGAUGACGGCAUUCGGGUUGUAAAGCGCUUUCGCCUGUGACGAAGCGUGAAUGACGGUAAUGGGUAAAGAAGCACCGGCUAACUACGUG
rnacentral:rRNA from 1 species